GAUGAACGCUGGCGGCGUGCUUAACACAUGCAAGUCGAACGAUGAAGCCCAGCUUGCUGGGUGGAUUAGUGGCGAACGGGUGAGUAACACGUGAGUAACCUGCCCUUAACUCUGGGAUAAGCCUGGGAAACUGGGUCUAAUACCGGAUAGGAGCGCCUACCGCAUGGUGGGUGUUGGAAAGAUUUGUCGGUUUUGGAUGGACUCGCGGCGUAUCAGCUUGUUGUUGAGGUAAUGGCUAACCAAGGCGACGACGGGUAGCCGGCCUGAGAGGGUGACCGGCCACACUGGGACUGAGACACGGCACAGACUACUACGGGAGGCAGCAGUGGGGAAUAUUGCACAAUGGGCGAAAGCCUGAUGCAGCGACGCCGCGUGAGGGAUGACGGCCUUCGGGUUGUAAACCUCUUUCAGUAGGGAAGAAGCGAAAGUGACGGUACCUGCAGAAGAAGCACCGGCUAACUACGUG
rnacentral:rRNA from 1 species